rnacentral:rRNA from 1 species
CACGAGGGGGGCGAGCGUUGUUCGGAAUUAUUGGGCGUAAAGGGUGCGUAGGCGGUUCGGUAAGUUUUAUGUGAAAUCUUCGGGCUUAACUCGAAGCCUGCAUAAAAUACUGCCGGGCUUGAGUAUGGGAGAGGUGAGUGGAAUUCCCAGUGUAGAGGUGAAAUUCGUAGAUAUUGGGAAGAACACCGGUGGCGAAGGCGGCUCACUGGCUCAUUUCUGACGCUCAGGCGCGACAGCGUGGGGAUCAAACAGG